rnacentral:rRNA from 1 species
UUGGAGGGCAAGUCUGGUGCCCGCAGCCGCGGUAAUUCCAGCUCCAAUAGCGUAUAUUAAAGUUGUUGCAGUUAAAAAGCUCGUAGUUGAAUUUCGGGAUCAGCAGGUUGGUCGUGCCACUGGUAUGCACUGGCUUUGCUGGUUCCUCCUUUCUGAAGAACUGUAAUGCCAUUAAUUUGGUGUUGCAGGGAAACAGGACUGUUACUUUGAAAAAAUUAGAGUGUUUAAAGCAGGCUAACGCUUGAAUACAUUAGCAUGGAAUAAUGAAAUAGGACGUUCGAUCCUAUUUUGUUGGUUUCUAGGAUUGACGUAAUGAUUAAUAGGGAUAGUUGGGGGCAUUAGUAUUCAAUUGUCAGAGGUGAAAUUCUUGGAUUUAUUGAAGACUAACUACUGCGAAAGCAUUUGCCAAGGAUGUUUUCAUUAAUCAAGAACGAAAGUUAGGGGAUCGAAGACGAUCAGAUACCGUCGUAGUCUUAACCAUAAACUAUGCCGACUAGGGAUCGGAUGAUGUUAAUUUUUUAAUGACUCAUUCGGCGCCUUACGGGAAAC